UGUAAACCCACUCAUUACACCAAAAAAUUGAUGCUCGUGCGAGGCAGGGGAAAGAAAAAUAUCCAUCGGGACAUAUUUUAUUAAUUCAACGCUUUUUCUUAUAAACUCUAAGAUCCGUCCGAGGAUGAGAGUAAUACUUAUCUGGACAAGAAGAUCUGGCAGCCUUGGAAGGCGAGGGCAAGGAUGGUGCGGCCCCAGGGCGAGAGUGAGCUGUACGGUAAUCUGAUGAGUGCAAAGAGACGCUUCAGUAUGCUGGACAGAUACCAGCAGAGAAUCGCACACAAUAACCUCUAGAUCUGCAAAAACAAACAAUAGCAGAUAAACAGGAGUAAAUAGCAAAAACAUGCAACUUCUAUGCAAUUGGAAAUUAUAUUUAAAAAGGCUGAUUCAUGAAUUGAACGUGUUCGUUCGCGUUGUGAGUUGAUGGUUCCGUUGUUUGUAGAUAAUACUGGAAAUUAUCUUUUUAGAAAAAAAGUAACCCAACAAUUUUUCUUUAAAAAUUAUUCACGUUCGAAAAAAAUUCUAAAGGCAUUUUUUGAACCAUGAUAACUUUUGCAGUUAAAUUGUUGUUUGGA